CUGGAGGUCAUUAAAUUUUACAAUAAAGAAGUAUGUGCAGGAUUUAAUUUCACAACUAAAGAGGACUCUGAAAAAGAAUUAAAGUUCUGGUGGAUCAAAAAUCGAGGAAUGAUUUGAUUUUAACUGGUUUGCAUCUUAUGAAGGAAGUACAUAAUAUGAUUUAAAUUGAUGAUUUAUAGUUACACCUAUUGAAGUAAGUUUUAUUUAGUUAAUUAAUGUAUGGAUA
rnacentral:lncRNA from 1 species